GACGAACGCUGGCGGCGUGCCUAAUACAUGCAAGUUGAGCGCUGAAGGUUGGUACUUGUACCAACUGGAUGAGCAGCGAACGGGUGAGUAACGCGUGGGGAAUCUGCCUUUGAGCGGGGGACAACAUUUGGAAACGAAUGCUAAUACCGCAUAAAAACUUUCAACACAAGUUUUAAGUUUGAAAGAUGCAAUUGCAUCACUCAAAGAUGAUCCCGCGUUGUAUUAGCUAGUUGGUGAGGUAAAGGCUCACCAAGGCGAUGAUACAUAGCCGACCUGAGAGGGUGAUCAGCCACAUUGGGACUGAGACACGGCCCAAACGCCUACGGGAGGCAGCAGUAGGGAAUCGUCGGCAAUGGACGAAAGUCUGACCGAGCAACGCCGCGUGAGUGAAGAAGGUUUUCGGAUCGUAAAACUCUGUUGGUAGAGAAGAACGUUGGUGAGAGUGGAAAGCUCAUCAAGUGACGGUAACUACCCAGAAAGGGACGGCUAACUACGUG
rnacentral:rRNA from 1 species